GCGUAUUAUUUUUAACAUGUUAAGUUACUUUUGCAAGAUAUAAAAUUCAUAAUAACUGCUACAAUCUCGCAUAUAAUAACAUUAAUCAUAUGAGUAAAUUUUCCUCCCCCCAUUUAUUAAACCUACGAAUAUUAAAUUGAUGUUAGAAAAAAUAAUAUUUUUUUUAAAUUUAUCUAUUUUUCUUUUUCAAUAAACAACCACAUACGUCUGAGAUUAAUAAAACAAUUUUUUUUCUUUUAUCUUGUUUCUUCUCUAUUUCUGUCCCUUUCUCCUUAUCUCUCUCUAUUAUUAGUUUCUUCAUCACCUGCGAUAAUAAUAUUAUUACUAAUGGUUUAAUUCAAUUUGAGGAAACAAAUUCAACAAUAACGACGGUGGGUUUGAACUUUAAUAAUAAAAAUAUAAUGAAAGAUUCUGGAAAAUGAAGAUAGAAGGGUUACGUGCUUUGUUUGUUUGGAAAGAGAAAUAAAGAACAUGGGAACUGGCAUUGUUUGUUUCAAGGAAUAAAUUACUAUUUGUUUUAUGAAAUGCACUGAACAGCUUAGAGCUAAAAGUUCUCUAAACCAUGCCUAUUGCCUAGUUUGUGGGCUUAAAUUUUGCAUUUUAUGAAUCACGUUUUCUUAAAGUAACUACUGAUCACUUCACCUAAAUUCUAUAAACAAAAAUGGAAAUGGGCUUCCGAAAAUGAUACCGAACAGGCCAAGAUCCCAUUAAGAAUAAGGUUUUCCAAUGUAAUUCAUAUUAGAGGCGUUAAUAUUAUUGGUUCGUAUUCGCUUCAAACGGGUAUAUACUAUAAGGAAGUUUAAUUUUUACUGUUUUAGAGGGUAGGUAUCAGGCUCAAAGUAGGAGUUUAUUAUUAUUUUUAAUUAAUGGGUAUCAAUUUAAAAAAAAAAUUCAUUACAUGGUUUGUAUUAGAACAACUGAACCCACCAUUUUUUGUUUGUUAAAACUAA
rnacentral:lncRNA from 1 species